GGUACCAGUGGGUCAGCGGCUCCGUGGGCGCCGUCGAGAGCCACACGGUCAUUCUGGGGGGACACAGGGACACGAGGGGAGCCCACCCAGGUGCUCCAGGGCAUCCCCACACCUACAUGGAGCCGAUGAAGGCCACGUCGAACCAGAAGGCCAGGCCGUGCACCAGCCCCGAGUGCAGCAUGUGGAACUUGAAGGGGAUUUCUAUCCUGGGGGACAAUUGGGGUGGUCAUGGGGUGGCUGGAGACCCCCCCCAGGCUCCCCCCGGGCAGGGGGGAGCUCAGCCAGGCCCCUGCAGGUGUCCCCCACCUGUGCAAGUCGCCCUCCUUGGCUUCCAAGAAGUUCACGGUGUAUUUGACGGA